rnacentral:rRNA from 1 species
AUAUUGCACAAUGGGGGAAACCCUGAUGCAGCGACGCCGCGUGGAGGAAGAAGGUCUUCGGAUUGUAAACUCCUGUUGUUGAGGAAGAUAAUGACGGUACUCAACAAGGAAGUGACGGCUAACUACGUGCCAGCAGCCGCGGUAAAACGUAGGUCACAAGCGUUGUCCGGAAUUACUGGGUGUAAAGGGAGCGCAGGCGGGAAGACAAGUUGGAAGUGAAAUCCAUGGGCUCAACCCAUGAACUGCUUUCAAAACUGUUUUUCUUGAGUAGUGCAGAGGUAGGCGGAAUUCCCGGUGUAGCGGUGGAAUGCGUAGAUAUCGGGAGGAACACCAGUGGCGAAGGCGGCCUACUGGGCACCAACUGACGCUGAGGCUCGAAAGUGUGGGUAGCAAACAGGAUUAGAUACCCUGGUAGUCCACACCGUAAACGAUGAUUACUAGGUGUUGGAGGAUUGACCCCUUCAGUGCCGCAGUUAACACAAUAAGUAAUCCACCUGGGGAGUACGACCGCAAGGUUGAAACUCAAAGGAAUUGACGGGGGCCCGCACAAGCAGUGGAGUAUGUGGUUUAAUUCGACGCAACGCGAAGAACCUUACCAAGUCUUGACAUCCCUUGACGAUGCUGGAAACAGUAUUUCUCUUCGGAGCAAGGAGACAGGUGGUGCAUGGUUGUCGUCAGCUCGUGUCGUGAGAUGUUGGGUUAAGUCCCGCAACGAGCGCAACCCUUACUGUUAGUUGCUACGCAAGAGCACUCUAGCAGGACUGCCGUUGACAAAACGGAGGAAGGUGGGGAUGACGUCAAAUCAUCAUGCCCCUUAUGACCUGGGCCUCACACGUACUACAAUGGCUGUCAACAGAGGGAAGCAAAGCCGCGAGGUGGAGCGAACCCCUAAAAGCAGUCUUAGUUCGGAUUGUAGGCUGCAACCCGCCUACAUGAAGUCGGAAUUGCUAGUAAUCGCAGAUCAGCAUGCUGCGGUGAAUACGUUCCCGGGCCUUGUACACACCGCCCGUCACGCCAUGGGAGUCGGUAACACCCGAAGCCUGUAGUCUAACCGCAAGGAGGACGCAGUCGAAGGUGGGAUUGAUGACUGGGGUGAAGUCGUAACAAGGUAGCCGUAUCGGAAGGUGCGGCUG